CUUCAGCGAGCCGAGCCACAGCGGGGACCGCCCCGCGCGCUCCUUGCCGUAGGUGGCGAGCAGGGCCCCCGCCUC
rnacentral:antisense_RNA from 1 species